AUGGUGGCCCAGGCCCAGGUCUCGCACAGAGCUGCCCUCUGGACCUGGGACACCGUUGCUCCGAGCAGAAGGGGGCCAGUGGACCGUGACGUGCGGACUCCCAGUCUCCCUGGCUGGACCUUGAGUCGGAACCUUCUGGAAGAGCGUGCUGCUUCCCUCUGCACCCUGGCGAGCAGACAGGUCCCUCCUCCCAGCCCCCCGUCUCCCAGUUUGUGCGUCCCCUCUGCCCUGGCACCGCACGCGUCCAUCAAGCUGCCUUCUGGUCCCAGAGGCCCUGAACUGCCCAGCACUGAGCUCACACAUCGGCACGGCAGCCUCUCAGCCCGCGUGCGCGGGGUGCUGGCCGGCCACGUCAGGCAGCACGUGGAAGAACGGGGUGGGUACCUCAGCAGCGUGGCUGGGGGCGCACGGGCGGCGUCUGAUGACCGAACUGGGAGGGCUCCGGGGAAGGCGAGUCCUAAAACGGUGCCACCUGGACCAAGGCUGCCUGGGGGCUGGGCCCAGGCCUCCCCCCUCCGAGUUCUUGACCUUCUGCCACAGGACUGUGCAAAGGGGACCAAAAGCAGAGCGCCCCCUUCCCACCCUGGGGGACUCGCUUCGGCCAACACGAUGCCGGCCGGUGUGGCCCACAGAGGGUGCAGGACGCUCGCUGUGCCAGGGUUAGCUUGCAGGAGGGCGAGAGAGCCCCAGGGACCUCUGCCCUUGACGCCCCGCGAGAGCUCACACCCAGCGGGCCUGCGACAUGGGAGCCCAGGCAGAGCCAGAACUGGCCGGCCCGGACAGCUGGCCUCGGCGCCAGGCGCUAGGCAAGCUCACCUGUUGUAGGUCAGGAGUCGUGGGGUGCCCUGUGGCACAGCACGGCUGCGGCGACGCCUAACGGGCACAGCCGGGUCUGGGGUCUGGUGUGGCAGAGGGUCAGGGCAGGACGCGCUGGGUACCAAGGAGCCUCUUCCCAGAAGCCCCCGCCCCAGGACGGACGGGCCUUGGAACGCCUGCCAAGAGCACCCCAGCCCACGGAGCCAGCCGCCGGCAAUCCCACCCCCACCAGGAAGGGGCCCUCGGCCUGCGACCCUGACUCCAGCAGUGCAGGACCGGAGCGCCCACCACAGGUCUCCCCCCACCCCGCCCCGCGUGUCUGCAGGAACAUGUGUCCCGCCCCGCGUGUCUGCAGGAACAUGUGUCCGCCCCAUGUGUCCCAGCAGAAACAUGUGUCCCGCCCCGUGUGUCCCAGCAGGAACAUGUGUCCCGCCCCAUGUGUCCCAGCAGGACUGCGUUUGGAGAGUGUGCGGGGAGACCGAGCUCCCACAGGGAAAGCCGGGAGCCCCGAGUGCUGGCUGCUUCGCUGUGGUCACUCUGGUGUCCGGCUGCAGGGGAGCCCUGUCCACGGGCUCUGCAGGUCGCUGAGGAGUCUGUGUCAGGAGCCUUUGU
rnacentral:lncRNA from 1 species